GACGAACGCUGGCGGCGUGCUUAACACAUGCAAGUCGAACGGAAAGGCCCUGCUUUUGUGGGGUGCUCGAGUGGCGAACGGGUGAGUAACACGUGAGUAACCUGCCCUUGACUUUGGGAUAACUUCAGGAAACUGGGGCUAAUACCGGAUAGGAGCUCCUGCUGCAUGGUGGGGGUUGGAACGUUUCGGCGGUUGGGGAUGGACUCGCGGCUUAUCAGCUUGUUGGUGGGGUAGUGGCUUACCAAGGCUUUGACGGGUAGCCGGCCUGAGAGGGUGACCGGCCACAUUGGGACUGAGAUACGGCCCAGACUCCUACGGGAGGCAGCAGUGGGGAAUAUUGCACAAUGGGCGGAAGCCUGAUGCAGCAACGCCGCGUGCGGGAUGACGGCCUUCGUGUUGUAAACCGCUUUCGCCUGUGACGAAGCGUGAGUGACGGUAAUGGGUAAAGAAGCACCGGCUAACUACGUG
rnacentral:rRNA from 1 species